UUAACAAACUUCGGGCUCGGCAU
rnacentral:piRNA from 1 species